rnacentral:rRNA from 1 species
UAACCGUGGCUCAGUUCAGAUCGUAGGCUGCAACUCGCCUACGUGAAGGAUGAAUCGCUAGUAAUCGCAGGUCAGCAUACUGCGGUGAAUACGUUCCCGGGCCUUGUACACACCGCCCGUCUCACCAUGGAAGUUGGCCACGCCCGAAGCCGUUACUCCGACCCUUGUGGUAGGAGGACGUCGAAGGUGGGGCUGAUGACUGGGGUGAAGUCGUAACAAGGUAGCCGUACCGGAAGGUGCGGCUGGAUCACCUCCUAACA